AACGAACGCUGGCGGCAGGCCUAACACAUGCAAGUCGAGCGCGACCUUCGGUUGAGCGGCGGACGGGUUAGUAACGCGUGGGAACGUACCUUUCGGUAAGGAAUAGCCUCUGGAAACGGAGAGUAAUACCUUAUACGCCCUUUGGGGAAAGAUUUAUCGCCGAGGGAUCGGCCCGCGUUAGAUUAGAUAGUUGGUGGGGUAACGGCCUACCAAGUCUACGAUCUAUAGCUGGUUUUAGAGGAUGAUCAGCAACACUGGGACUGAGACACGGCCCAGACUCCUACGGGAGGCAGCAGUGGGGAAUCUUGGACAAUGGGCGCAAGCCUGAUCCAGCCAUGCCGCGUGAGUGAUGAAGGCCCUAGGUAAAGCUCUUCGCAGGGAGAUAAUGACGUACCUGUAA
rnacentral:rRNA from 1 species